rnacentral:rRNA from 1 species
UGUAGGCAAAUCCGCGUGGCUAAGAUGAGGCGUGAUGACGAGGAUCCUCGGAUCCGAAGCGAGUGAUACCCAGCUUCCAGGAAAAGCCUCUAAGCUUCAGUCUAAGAGUGACCGUACCGCAAACCGACACAGGUGGUCUGGUAGAGAAUACCAAGGCGCUUGAGAGAACUCAGGAGAAGGAACUCGGCAAAUUGAUACCGUAACUUCGGGAGAAGGUAUGCCCCUGGUACGUGAAGGCCCUCGCGGCCGGAGCGGAACGGGGUCGCAGAGAAUCGGUGGCUGCGACUGUUUAUUAAAAACACAGCACUCUGCAAACACGAAAGUGGACGUAUAGGGUGUGACGCCUGCCCGGUGCCGGAAGGUUAAGUGAUGGGGUGCAAGCUCUUGAUCGAAGCCCCGGUAAACGGCGGCCGUAACGAUAACGGUCCUAAGGUAGCGAAAUUCCUUGUCGGGUAAGUUCCGACCUGCACGAAUGGCGUAACGAUGGCCACACUGUCUCCUCCUGAGACUCAGCGAAGUUGAAAUGUUUGUGAAGAUGCAAUCUCCCCGCGGCUAGACGGAAAGACCCCAUGAACCUUUACUGUAGCUUUGCAUUGGACUUUGACGGGACUUGUGUAGGAUAGGUGGGAGGCUAUGAAACCGGGACGCCAGUUCCGGCGGAGCCACCCUUGAAAUACCACCCUGGUGUCGUCGAGGUUCUAACCCAGGCCUGUGAAUCCAGGUCGGGGACCGUGCAUGGUGGGCAGUUUGACUGGGGCGGUCUCCUCCCAAAAGGUAACGGAGGAGUACGAAGGUCACCUAGGUACGGUCGGACAUCGUACUGAUAGUGCAAUGGCAAAAGGUGGCUUGACUGCGAGACCCACAAGUCGAGCAGGUGCGAAAGCAGGUCAUAGUGAUCCGGUGGUUCUGUAUGGAAGGGCCAUCGUUCAACGGAUAAAAGGUACUCUGGGGAUAACAGGCUGAUUCCGCCCAAGAGUUCACAUCGACGGCGGAGUUUGGCACCUCGAUGUCGGCUCAUCACAUCCUGGGGCUGUAGCCGGUCCCAAGGGUAUGGCUGUUCGCCAUUUAAAGUGGUACGUGAGCUGGGUUUAAAACGUCGUGAGACAGUUUGGUCCCUAUCUGCCGUGGGCGCUGGAAGUUUGAGAGGGCCUGCUCCUAGUACGAGAGGACCGGAGUGGACGCACCCCUGGUGUACCGGUUGUGACGCCAGUCGCAUCGCCGGGUAGCUAUGUGCGGAAGAGAUAACCGCUGAAAGCAUCUAAGCGGGAAACUCGCCUCAAGAUGAGACUUCCCCGGGGCCUCGAGCCCCCUGAAGGGUCGUUGAAGACCACAACGUUGAUAGGCCGGGUGUGUAAGCGUGGCAACACGUUCAGCUAACCGGUACUAAUUGCCCGUGUGGCUUGAUCC